rnacentral:rRNA from 1 species
AUUGAACGCUGGCGGCAGGCCUAACACAUGCAAGUCGAACGAGUGGCGGACGGGUGAGUAAUGUAUGGGAAACUGCCCGAUGGAGGGGGAUAACUACUGGAAACGGUAGCUAAUACCGCAUACCAUCGGAUGUGCCCAGAUGGGAUUAGCUUGUAGGUGAGGUAACGGCUCACCUAGGCGACGAUCCCUAGCUGGUCUGAGAGGAUGAACAGCCACACUGGGACUGAGACACGGCCCAGACUCCUACGGGAGGCAGCAGUGGGGAAUAUUGGACAAUGGGCGAAAGCCUGAUGCAGCCAUGCCGCUUGUAUGAAGAAGGCCUUCGGGUUGUAAAGUACUUUCAGCGGGGAGGCGUUACCCGCAGAAGAAGCACCGGCUAACUCCGUGCCAGCAGCCGCGGUAAUAC